rnacentral:tRNA from 1 species
GUUGUCGUGGCCGAGUGGUUAAGUCGAUGGACUAGAAUUCUUUAGGGAUCUUUCCGCGCAGGUUCGAAUCCUGCCGACAUCG